rnacentral:rRNA from 1 species
GAUGAACGCUGGCGGCGUGCCUAAUACAUGCAAGUCGAGCGAACAGACGAGGAGCUUGCUCCUCUGACGUUAGCGGCGGACGGGUGAGUAACACGUGGAUAACCUACCUAUAAGACUGGGAUAACUUCGGGAAACCGGAGCUAAUACCGGAUAACAUGUUGAACCGCAUGGUUCAACAGUGAAAGACGGUCUUGCUGUCACUUAUAGAUGGAUCCGCGCCGCAUUAGCUAGUUGGUAAGGUAACGGCUUACCAAGGCAACGAUGCGUAGCCGACCUGAGAGGGGGGACGGGCCACAGGGAAAGGGGGACAGGGCCCAGAGUCCACGGGGAGGAGGAAGAGGGGAUUCUACCGCAAGGGGGGAAGGUCGAAGGAGCAAGCCCGGGGGGAGGAAAAAAGGUUUAGGGAUGUAAAAACUUUUUUAUAGGGAAAAAAAAAAUGGGAAAGAACCUGUGCACGUCUGAAGGGACCCUAAUAGGAAGACCAGGACUAACUCGGUC